ensembl:lncRNA TEKT4P2 tektin 4 pseudogene 2
AGCGGCGGUCGUGUAGCUGAGCAGGCCUGGGGCUUGGUUCUAUGUCCCUGUAGUGUCCUCUGGGUGUUUCCAAGAGCAACAAGAAACGAAUAAAUCUCUGCCCCGCAGCGCCUCCACCCCAGAGACCCGGACCAAGUUCACACAGGACAAUCUGUGCCACGCCCAGCGCGAGCGCCUGGACUCGGCCAACCUGUGGGUGCUGGUGGACUGCAUCCUUCGCGACACCUCCGAGGACCUGGGACUCCAGUGUGACGCCGUGAACCUGGCCUUCGGGCGCCGCUGUGAGGAACUGGAGGACGCGCGGCACAAGCUGCAGCACCACCUGCACAAGAUGCUGCGGGAAAUCACAGAUCAGGAACACAACGUGGUGGCACUGAAGGAGGCCAUCAAGGACAAGGAGGAACCUCUGCACAUAGCCCAGACCCGGCUGUAGUUGCUCUCACACCGGCCCAACAUGCAGCUGUGCCGCGAUGCAGCCCAGUUCAGGUGCUGAGAGGGGAGGGAGACUCUGCGGCCACACACAACAUGCAAGCACGCCUUAAACACACAGAUAUAGACAUGACACUGGGCAGGUCAUGGGUCGGGGGCCUCCCCGUGCCAGGGACCUGUGCCCACGUGGUCUCACCCCACCCUGUGCUACCUCAUCUUCCCGGGAGGAAGCUCCUUCAGACAAGCCCCAGCUCACACCCCCCAACACCCCCAAGCUGGUGAGUGAGGUGGAGGAGCUGUACAAGUCCAUCACAGCGCUGCGGGAGAAGCUUCUACAAGCGGAGCAGUCCCUGCGCAACCUCAAGGACAUCCACAUGAGCCUGGAGAAGGACGUCACUGCCAUGACCAACAGUCUCUUCAUCGACCGCCAGAAGUGCAUGGCCCAUCGUACUUGCUACCCCACCAUUCUGCAGCUGGCUGGCUACCAGUGAGCAGCGGCACGGUGCUUCCCCCCAAUCCCCCAAAUAAACAGUGCGUUAGCUUUCU